CUGGCCAAACAACCCUGUAAAAACCUGAUCUCAUCAGAUCUGUGAAGCUCAGCAGGGACAGGCCUGGUUAGGAUCUGGAUGGGAGACCAGUGGGAAUAUCAGAGACCACAGUGU
rnacentral:rRNA from 1 species